CUUUGACUCGCUCGACGACGCCGACGGGACCAGGUUGGAGUCCAAGAUCUUCAAGAUGCUGGCGCAGACGUCUGAGAGCUCCGCCUCGACCUUGGAUCUGUACUCCUUGACGAGCGCCACGUGGUCCUCGUUCUUGCGCCCCUCCUCCUUCUGCUCGAUCGACGACACGAUCCGCCACGCCGCCCGGAGCGACCCGAUCACGUUCUUGUAGGCGACGGAGAGGAGGUUGCGCUCCUCCACCGUCAGCUCCGACGCCGGGGUGCACCCCACCACAAGCUUCUCCAUGAACUGGACCAUCUCCUCGUAGCGCUCGGCCUGCUCGGCGAGCUUGGCGAGGUAGACGUACUGCUCUCGGGUCAGGUUAUCGGGGAUGACGGAGGACGCCAUUGGAGAACAAGAGAGAGAAAGAAGAGAGAGAGAGAGAGC
rnacentral:lncRNA from 1 species